UACGAAGGGUGCGAGCGUUAAUCGGAAUUACUGGGCGUAAAGCGUGCGCAGGCGGUUUGGUAAGACAGAUGUGAAAUUCCCGGGCUUAACCUGGGAACUGCAUUUGUGACUGCCAGGCUAGAGUGCGGCAGAGGGGAGUGGAAUUCCGCGUGUAGCAGUGAAAUGCGUAGAUAUGCGGAGGAACACCGAUGGCGAAGGCAACUCCCUGGGCCUGCACUGACGCUCAUGCACGAAAGCGUGGGGAGCAAACAGG
rnacentral:rRNA from 1 species